UUAAAAGAGAAACCCUCCCCAGGGAGGAAAAGAGGGAAGCCACCUGUAGCCCAUCCCUACUGAUGGUUCUUUUGAGCAGCCUGAGAAAGCUGUGCCUGCAGGAUUACAGAGCAGAGCCAGGAGGAGCUUGGAAGAGGGAGUGUUUGUGCUUUUGUAAGGAAUCGUGAAAUGAAGUAGCAUCCUGUUCAGCAGCUCUCCUUUAUGAAUUUGAGGAACAUACUGAGCACCUAAAGAAUCCAAGGCUAGCUUGUAUAGACUAAACAACAAACAAAUGGGAGCUGGAGACUGUGCCUUCCUACCCACCCAACAUGACCACCCAACAUGGCCAGUGACAGAUGUACAGUGGUUUGAGCACACGAGGGUCACAGCAAUGGGAAUCUGGACACCUCAUCACUGCUUCAGUUCACAGCUGCUCAAAGAAGGAAGGAGGCAUCCAGGAGAAGACACAAUGAAGCAUGCCUGGAGAGACAGACAAGAAAUUGCGAUAGAAGAACCAGAUAUUUCCACUCCUACUUGCUGCUUCCUAGCUAUCCUCCAACACCACAUCUUGCAAGGAGGGUGCUGCUCCGUGUGAACUGAGGCUGUGUCUACACUAACUGGCUUGUCAUUGCUGCUUACUGGAGGCAUCUGAACACACCAUUAUGUCAUCUUGAAAACCUGCCAAAGAUCCUAAACGCAGACCAGCAGUUGCAAAUUUAGCCUGGAGUAGGGCUCUUCCUUUGGUGGGACAAAAGGAGCCAGAAGAGGCUUGAGCACCAAAGCCAGUCCUCUCCUCAGGAAGCUGGAAACAUGGCUCUUUGCUCCGCACCCGGAGAGGUGACAGCAGUGAGCCACUAUCUGAGGCUACUGGGAACCACACAGGAAAGGGUGAGGAAGUCAGUCAGUCUGAAUUUAUGCUAUCAAAAAGAAGCAAUACUUCUGAGCAGUUCAAGAUAUUUAGACCAAAUGAAUUAGUCCAAAUUCUUUCAAAGAAUGUAUUACACUGGAGUAACUCUGUUCACUCAGCAAGUAUGCAUCUUCAUUACUAGUUGCAAUGAUUAUAAUUUGCCAUUGUUUUCCUGAUUAUUUCCUAAUUAUAAUAUAGUCAGAGCUAAAUUCAAAAAUGGUAUUUUCAACAUGGAGUUUGGAGUCCUGGUUAGAAAAAUAAUUAAAACUUUUCAGACUUAGCCAGAUCAGCCCAAUCUUUAAUCCAGAAUUUAAAAAUAGAUAACCCUCUGUUUCAUUUUCACUUUACCCUGGAAAUGACCAUGUAACUAAGGUAUCUUCCAAGCUGCUGACAUCCUAAACACCUACACAUGGAAAAUAGGUAGUUUAUAAAAGUCUUUUUCCCAUCUCUAAAAUUAACUACACCUGUUCUUAUUCAGGGAAGUGAGUGCCAUUAAAUCAUGAAAUUGCUUAUGAUAAAACCAAAGAAAGUGUGAGUGAAAACAUAAACACAAUGAAGACUUGGUGGUGCCAAAACUAAACUUAUAUUACACCAGCUGAUAACUAGCUGGAAGUCAGAAAUAUAAUACAUUAAAAUAAACAGUUUGAGAUUAAUCUUUAGCUAUCUGGC
ensembl:lncRNA